rnacentral:rRNA from 1 species
AAAUUGAAGAGUUUGAUCAUGGCUCAGAUUGAACGCUGGCGGCAGGCCUAACACAUGCAAGUCGAACGGUAACAGGAAGCAGCUUGCUGCUUCGCUGACGAGUGGCGGACGGGUGAGUAAUGUCUGGGAAACUGCCUGAUGGAGGGGGAUAACUACUGGAAACGGUAGCUAAUACCGCAUAACGUCGCAAGACCAAAGAGGGGGACCUUCGGGCCUCUUGCCAUCGGAUGUGCCCAGAUGGGAUUAGCUUGUUGGUGGGGUAACGGCUCACCAAGGCGACGAUCCCUAGCUGGUCUGAGAGGAUGACCAGCCACACUGGAACUGAGACACGGUCCAGACUCCUACGGGAGGCAGCAGUGGGGAAUAUUGCACAAUGGGCGCAAGCCUGAUGCAGCCAUGCCGCGUGUAUGAAGAAGGCCUUCGGGUUGUAAAGUACUUUCAGCGGGGAGGAAGGGAGUAAAGUUAAUACCUUUGCUCAUUGACGUUACCCGCAGAAGAAGCACCGGCUAACUCCGUGCCAGCAGCCGCGGUAAUACGGAGGGUGCAAGCGUUAAUCGGAAUUACUGGGCGUAAAGCGCACGCAGGCGGUUUGUUAAGUCAGAUGUGAAAUCCCCGGGCUCAACCUGGGAACUGCAUCUGAUACUGGCAAGCUUGAGUCUCGUAGAGGGGGGUAGAAUUCCAGGUGUAGCGGUGAAAUGCGUAGAGAUCUGGAGGAAUACCGGUGGCGAAGGCGGCCCCCUGGACGAAGACUGACGCUCAGGUGCGAAAGCGUGGGGAGCAAACAGGAUUAGAUACCCUGGUAGUCCACGCCGUAAACGAUGUCGACUUGGAGGUUGUGCCCUUGAGGCGUGGCUUCCGGAGCUAACGCGUUAAGUCGACCGCCUGGGGAGUACGGCCGCAAGGUUAAAACUCAAAUGAAUUGACGGGGGCCCGCACAAGCGGUGGAGCAUGUGGUUUAAUUCGAUGCAACGCGAAGAACCUUACCUGGUCUUGACAUCCACAGAACCCUGUAGAGAUACGGGGGUGCCUUCGGGAACUGUGAGACAGGUGCUGCAUGGCUGUCGUCAGCUCGUGUUGUGAAAUGUUGGGUUAAGUCCCGCAACGAGCGCAACCCUUAUCCUUUGUUGCCAGCGGUCCGGCCGGGAACUCAAAGGAGACUGCCAGUGAUAAACUGGAGGAAGGUGGGGAUGACGUCAAGUCAUCAUGGCCCUUACGACCAGGGCUACACACGUGCUACAAUGGCGCAUACAAAGAGAAGCGACCUCGCGAGAGCAAGCGGACCUCAUAAAGUGCGUCGUAGUCCGGAUUGGAGUCUGCAACUCGACUCCAUGAAGUCGGAAUCGCUAGUAAUCGUGGAUCAGAAUGCCACGGUGAAUACGUUCCCGGGCCUUGUACACACCGCCCGUCACACCAUGGGAGUGGGUUGCAAAAGAAGUAGGUAGCUUAACCUUCGGGAGGGCGCUUACCACUUUGUGAUUCAUGACUGGGGUGAAGUCGUAACAAGGUAACCGUAGGGGAACCUGCGGUUGGAUCACCUCCUUA